CGUAGGGGGCGAAGCGUUGUCCGGAAUUACUGGGCGUAAAGGGCGUGUAGGUGGGUAAUUAAGUCAUGGGUGAAAACUAGCGAGCUCAACUUGCAGACUGCCUAUGAAACUGGAUAUCUUGAGGGCAGGAGAGGAAAGUGGAAUUCCUAGUGUAGCGGUGAAAUGCGUAGAUAUUAGGAGGAACACCAGUGGCGAAGGCGACUUUCUGGACUGUCCCUGACACUGAGGCGCGAAAGCUAGGGGAGCGAACGGGAUUAGAUACCCCGGUAGUCCUAGCCGUAAACGAUGGGUACUAGGUGUGGGAGGUAUCGACCCCUUCCGUGCCGGAGUUAACACAUUAAGUACCCCGCCUGGGGAGUACGGCCGCAAGGUUG
rnacentral:rRNA from 1 species